GAAGCAGGAAAUCAUGUCUCUCCUGCAAGUGCAAUUCUUUUUAUCCAAAAUCUGCUAACAAGAUGCAAGAUGAAUUUGCAUAAAGGGGAGGAUUCCAAUUUUGGAAGGGUUUAAAGGGACUAUAGCAGUCUUCCAAUUUGAGUUUCCCCAAAAGCUCAAUUCUGCAUCAUGGAGUGGUCUCUGCUCUUGGCCUUCUUCUUCUUAUGGUGGACAGGAGCCAACUCACAGUAUACCUUGACUCAGCCUGCGGCACAAUCGUUCCCUCCAGGACAACCAGCAAAGAUCUCAUGUACCAUGAGCCGAGACAGCCAAGUGGGCAGUUAUACCAUAUAUUGGUACCAACAGAAGGCUGGAGAGAGCCCCAAAUACCUUCUCAAUAAUGCUGGCAGCAGUGGGCGGUUCACUGGGUCCAAGGACACCUCUGCCAAUGCAGCCUAUUUAACCGUUACAAACCUCCAGCCUGAGGAUGAGGAUGAUUAUUAUUGUGGUGGUGGUUACAGCAGUGGCAGCAACUGGUGGUAUCCACAGUGAUACAAUCACUUGCAGAAGUGAGACAAAAACCUCCCCUUGUGAACACUUCCUUCUUCCCCUUCGUGAACCAUCAGCCUGGCCUGUGAAAUAUUUACACAGUUAAUACUUAGAGAGCAGAGUCAGUUCUUCUCUCAGC